rnacentral:snRNA from 1 species
GGUAAUGCUAUCAAAGGAAGCCA